UCAGAGUUGUGGUCAUGGGAGUGAGUUGGGAGCCUCUGCUGUGCCCUGGAUAGUGAGGGAUGAGUGGCUCCAACAGGAUCCAGCACCAGGGCCACACUGCGUGUCCUCCGCCACAGCAGCCCUGAGGCUCCGCAGCGAUGUCACAGGACAGACACGUCUUCCCAGAGGCUCCGAGGAGGUCCCAGACGGAUGGGACCCGGGUUCCCACACGCAUAACGGAAAAGAACUCCAGCUGCUGCCAGCCAGCGCCCAGCUGGGUUCCUUCAGGAAAGUCCGGAGACGCUCAGGGAGGAUGGGGCGUGUCCAGAGGGGAGGUGGGUAGGUGCCAACCCUGAGCGAGGGCCAGCGCCCAGCUGGGUUCCUUCAGGAAAGUCCGGAGACCCUCAGGGAGGAUGGGGCGUGUCCAGAGGGGAGGUGGGUAGGUGCCAACCCUGAGCGAGGGCCAGCGCCCAGCUGGGUUCCUUCAGGAAAGUCCGGAGACCCUCAGGGAGGAUGGGGCAUGUCCAGAGGGGAGGUGGGUAGGUGCCAACCCUGAGCGAGGGCCAGCGCCCAGCUGGGCUGGAGGCGCCCCCAGGUGAGCAACAGGGCUGGGCACCUGUCUCCCGUGCUGCCUCACUGCCCGAGCGUUACCAGGACGUGGUCCGGGACAUGCUGCUCUGGAGUGCAGCUGCCUCAGUGGCUCAUGGGCCCUCUUCUGAGACUCAGCAUCGAUGGCUUCAGCACUGAAUUCCUACCCCGGGGUCACCGCCCUCACCCACCCCAAGGGUCAGAGCCAGCUCCCUUAGCACAUGUCAACCAGAGCAAAGAACAGCACAUGCCUUUAAUCAGAGUUUUGCCUGACCCAGGGGUCCGCCCAGGGCCGAGGAGGCCCAGCAUACUGCUUUCCAGCGCCGAGGAAGGGAGUGCAGAGGUUUUGGCCAUUCCUUACUCACUGGUGGGGCAGGCUAGCCUGCAGGCUGGGGCCAUGCAGGCCGGGAGUGCUCUCCUGCACUGCAAGCCAGGGGUGCUCUGCAGACCCUCCCCACAGGACUGAGAGGAGGGAGCGGCCAGCUGCCUCACAUGCCCUCAGGGACCUGGGUGUACAGGGGCUGUGGACUCCUGCUGCCGUUGGCCUGGACUGUGGACACUCCCAGGUCUGGGAGAAGCGGGCGGGUCCCCCACAGCCCUAACACGGAGGGGUCAGCAGAGGCAGGUCCUGAUUUGGGUUCCUGGACAGGAAGCACCCUGGCCUGGGCCUCUCCUGACACCCUGCCCUGGUGAAACCCCCACUUCCUAAUUUCUUUCCCCAUCUUCUUUCCUCAGACAAUUGACAAACACAAGGAAGCAGAAACCUCUGAGGAAGCAGAACUGAAGGGUACAUGGGAGGAGGCUGCUGAGGAGGGGCCAGACCCGAGUAGGACCACCCCCAGCGUCUGGGCCUCAGCCACCAAAGGGCUUCGGUGGCAGCGAGAACCACACUCCUGAGCUCCCUCCUCCGCAGUAUCAGCCUUCUCUGAAUGAAGAACCAGACGCGUCAGGAGCCUGGCUCGGCUCCCCCAUGCCCACUGGGGUCAGUGUCAGCAGGCAGCACAUCCCACCUGACUCUCACCUGGUCCCUGCUCAACACCAUCUUCCUGGACUUCUGCUGCCUGCUUCAUAGCCUUCGCUUCCUCCAUAAAGUCUAGGGACAGGAAGAUGGUGGGUGACUUCACCGGGUCCCAGACUUACGCCUCCACUGUGAAGAAACUGAACCUCAGGCCACGGUCAUCAGCGUCAUUGGGACCAUCCUCGUGCUGAUGUUCGUUAGACCAGAAUACAGCCUGACCAAGCUGGGCCUCAACCUCCCGUCCCAGGAGCGCUCGGAUUCCGGGGACACGUGGCAGGCCACAAGACUGGACCUGAGGAACCAGGGUGCAGCAGGGCCACAUUCUCAGCCCCCGUACCCCUUCUUCCCCACAGUGUGGGACACAUCUCCCAGGCUGCUGCCUCACUGGGGCGACCCGCACUUGCCAGCCUCCUGGGGCCUGUGGAGGGGAUUUGCCUUUGCCCAUGGUGGGGUCCGUCCUGAGCCCCAGGAAAGGUACACAGGAUGGGAAAGCCACAAUUGAUCUGCUGCUGUGGGAAGGCCAGGGACACCCCGUUCACCAAGACCAGGGAAGGGAGGGCCCUGAGGGUCUCUGCCAGCCGCCUGCAGCUGGGGCGUGCACUCGGGAGGGGGGCAGGAGACCCAGGGGGACGGCAGUCAUCUCACUCUGCAUCUCGGCAGGCAGAGAGCUCUUGGGCGUUCACAAAGACUGCGUCCCUGGGGGAAACAGGCCCGGGCAGGAGGACACUGCCCAGUCCCCACCAGCUCAGGAGCAGUGGCGGGAGGCAGGGCCCAGGGCGAUGCUCCCUGCAGCAGACCUGGGCCUUCACUCAGCUUCAGACGCUGCCCCGUGACAGGGCAGGACAAGGGACGCUGCCACGCCAUGGCCAUGGGCACACUCUCACGCCUGAGUCCUUCCCCACAGACCAUGUGGACAUCACUUGGGCACUGGACCCAAGAACAGGGGACUUCAGGGGCACCAGGCACCAGUGGACACAGGAGCGGGUCAGGAUCUCGACACCCAGAGCAUUGUCAUGGCUCCUUGUCCAUGGGGGUGUGGGGGCACCAAGGGCUCAGCAGUGUCUAGAUCCAAAGUCCACUCACCGUGGGCCCCAGGCCACGGGCCCUCCCAGCAGGCACUCUCCAUUCCCCAAAUGUGUGACUGGAACAGAAACAACGGGGGUUGACAGAAGCCGUGCUGGGUCAGUGGCUGGCUGGGCAAGAGCCAUUGUAGUGUGGUCAGCCAGGUGAAAGGGCCUGGGUUGCUCCCUGCUGGCUAUGCAACCAUGAAGAGUGGAGCCAGGCACAGAGCCUCCUGGGUCCGGGCGCUGGCCCCAUCCGUCCUCCGAUCCCUCUCGGGUCUGGUCCUGCAGGAGGGAAGGCUCUGGCAGAGGGGAGUGGGUGGCUGCAGACCCACUUCUGGGACUCCAGGUGUAGCUGAGUGCCAGGUGGGGCGUCUCGGGUCUGGGUUGGGAGCUACACUGGGCAUUAUAGACUUUUCUCUUCAGUCUCUAAAGAUGGAAUUGGUCACUAGAAAAUGUAGCAGAACUGCCCACCAGGAGCAGGACUGUGCCAGAACCUGCCGGCGGCAGCACCCAUGGGACAGCAACCCUGCAGGUGGGGACAGAAGCAGCGCAUCCUGGAAGGAGCAGAAGGCUGGUCCUGACCCCUGUGUCCUGCGCUGCUUCCCAGCGCCUGUCCCUCUGCUGACCCUUGGGGCUGCAGAGGAUGCAUUUGGGACAGACGAUGGAGAAGGCAGAGCUCAGUGAGGGGCAGGUGAACAGGGGAGAAGCCUCUCUCCAGCCCAGUCAGGGCAGCUUGAGGACACUGGCAGGGGCAACCUCCCAGUGGACAGAGCUGGAUGCAGGCCCCGGCAGCCUCUGUGUGGGGGGAGACGUGGCCCAGGAUUCAAGGUACUUGGAGGCCUGGACAUGGCAAAGUCCUAGCAGUAGGUGAAGGAGGCAGAGCGGGGUCCCAGGUCCUGAGGAGGGCUGGUGGAAGUGGCCACUAAGUGUGGGAUUAAGGGAAAAGUCUUGCUCUCAGAAAUAAGGUACCUGUGCAGGGCUGGGCAAGCCCCCGGAGCAUGAGGUGGACCUCAGGAACGUGGUGAGCCAGGGUGCCCAGAGCCACUGUGGGAUGGAUCUGGUGAGCUGUCAGUCAAGUCAGGGCCUGGUGUCGCAGGCCUCCAACACUCUGGGCUGUGCCUCGGGUCAUUCUGCACUUCACCUCCUGCCCGAGGACAUCUCUUCCCACUGCAGCCCCAGGGAUGGCCCAGGGGCAGCCUGGAGAGGGCCUGGCUGUCAGGCUCUCCCCUCAGAGGGGCGGAGGCUGUCAGGGUUCAAGCGGCACACGGGGGCCCGGUCAGGACCCUGCCCCUCGGCACCCCCGCCCCCAGCCUGCUCUGUCCACUCAGUGCCCCGUCUCCCUGUGUACAGCUGCAGCUACCAGAGGGAGGCCCCAUGUCAUGCAGUCCAGGUGGCCUCACAGAGGCACACCAUGGUUCCAGCAGGCAGGGCACUUGAGGUGACCCAAGUGACUUGCAGGCACACCUGUUUAUGGGGUAACCGGCAGCCUGCACCCCUGGGAUGGCCCAAGGGAGAAAAUGCCUGAUCAGAACUGGACACCCGGGGGAGGCCCAGGGCCUGAGACCCAGAGCCCUGGUGCAGUGGAUGCAGCAGGGUCACUGCAGCUCGGGUGCCAGAGCCGGGACCCCACGCAGCCUCCAGGACCGUAGCUCCCAGCAAGAGUCCAGGACGUGCCCUCCUGUAAUCAGGGAAGGACACCUGACCCUUCAGGCUGACCUGGAACGGCAGUCCUGGCCACAGGGGCACCUCACCAUCCCUGAGCAGGGGCACCAGGCUCGUCCUGUAAGACCAAGGUCAUCCAGUGGCCGGAUUCACACCUGAGAUGACCAGGUGACGGGGAUCAGAGGAUGCAUACAAGGCUGUGUGGCUCUGCCGGGAGGUGGCUGGCAAGUGCACUGACCCCACCCCCCGCCAGCCCAGGAAAGCCCCACUUCAGCCACUAGCUCCAGAGU